GAACAGGCUGUUUCUUGCUCUGCAAUACAGGUCAGAAGUCGGUGUUUUCUGAGCAUGGUCUUAUAACCACAAUAGCUUACAAACUGGGCAGAGACAAACCUGUUUGUUAUGCACUAGAGG